AAGGGGAAAGGUUAUCCUCAGAUGCCUGCGGCGUUGGGUCAUCGGCCCGCAGUUGUUGGCCCGCACCCGGCUGCGGUGCCGUCUCCCGCCGUCAAACCUUCGAAAUCGGCUUCAGUGGAGGGUGUGACUUUGCCGUGUCGAUUUCAUGUGACCCAUUUGCUCGCGCACAGGCGGAUGCGGGCGUCAGUUUCAGGGUCCGCCCGGCAGUUGGGAUGCAGAUUCCUUGAGGAACAUCAGUCAGGUACUACUAGGUGAAGUUCAGUACCAGCCUGGAGGCUUCCUUUCUUUCCUCCCCCCAUCCCCUCCUUCCUCUCCCCUCCCUCUGCCAGCUUCUCAGGUGAGCUAGUGAGGUGGAGCGAGCCACCUGCCUUCUUUGGCCUGAGCAGGAGGAGGGGGCGGAGGUUCCUAAGCACUAAGCACGUGCAGGCCGGCCCUUGCUCACCCUUAUUGCUGAUCCUCACAACAGAUCAGCAAGACAGAAAUUACCCUCGCCAUUUUACACGUAGCUCCCAGAGGUUAAGGUCACACAGACCAAGCUGGGAUUUGAACCGUGGGCCUUCACACUUCAAAGCCAAGGCUUGUCCCAUAAUUAGGAGCACAAUGACCUCGCCAAUGAUUCCUCACAAUAAAGCUCCCGUGAUAUGUAUGUUCUCCAAAGAGCUUUAAAAAGAACCAAAACAGGAGCGUGAUUUGAAUGUCUUCAGCAGAACAGAGCAAAAGCUUUACCAUCUGUGGAGGCAAGUCGUAGAGGCCCUUUUGUUUGGCUAAGCGUCCCACCUGCAACUCUGCCCCUUCGCAUUGUUCAUUCCAUCUGCCUCCUGGGGAGAAGGGGGCAAUAAUUUUCAUCCAGAAGACCAGUUUCAGGUUUCCUCAUCUGGAGAUAAAUUAAUUUUCCAAGGCACACAAUUAUAGGCAACUUUUCAAAGAGUUACUGGAGGGGCGCCUGGGUGGCUCAGUCGUUAAGCGCCUGCCUUCGGCUCAGGUCAUGGUCCCA